rnacentral:rRNA from 1 species
UACGUAGGCAGCGAGCGUUGUUCGGAAUUACUGGGCGUAAAGAGUGUGUAGGCGGUGCUCUAAGUUCGGUGUGAAAUCUCCUGCUUAACUGGGAGGGUGCGCCGGAAACUGGAGUGCUCGAGCGUGGGAGAGGAGAGCGGAAUUCCUGGUGUAGCGGUGAAAUGCGUAGAUAUCAGGAGGAACACCUGUGGUGUAGACGGCUUUCUGGACCAUAGCUGACGCUGAGACACGAAAGCGUGGGUAGCAAACAGG